rnacentral:ncRNA from 1 species
AUAAGUACAGUCAACUCAAAACCGGUACAGAAAAUGGGAAUCUGACUGUCUAAUUAAAACAAAUCAUUGUGAUGGUCCCUAUAGAUGUUGAUGCAAUGUGAUUUAUGCCCAAUGCUCUACAUGUCAAAGUAAAGAAAUUUAACCAAGCGCAAGUAAACAACAGGAUUAAAUAUGACUCUCUUAAGGUAGAAAAAUGCCUCGUCAUAUAAUUAGUGAUUUUAAUGAAUUGAUUAAUGAUAUUCCCACUAUCCCUAUCUACUAUCUAGAGAAACCAUAGCCAAGGGAAAGGUCUUGGAAGAAUCAAUAGGGAAAAAAUACCAUAUUGAGAUUGACUCUAGUCCGACUUUGUGAAAUGACUUGAGAGGCAUAGAAUAAGUGGGAGUCAUUUUUGGAAAAAAUAAAAUAACACUUCUUUUAAUGUUAUUUUACUUAUUUUGUGGGGUGGAGACGGGGCAUUUCUCCUACUUUUUCAAUAAGACAUGUUUCGAUGGGUUGAUCUAGGAGGAAGACAUUGUUAGGUGGGGAGUUUGGUUGGGGAAAUACAUAUGUUAAAAGAUAACGUAGGUGUCCUAAUAUGAUCUCAACGAGAACAAAAAUCGCAUAUGGAACAAAAGGGUAAAAGAUCAUUUUAUUUUCCACCAACUUCUUUAUCCUUAUAAUUCAUUGAUGGAUAUAAAUUAAUACAUCAAUGAGAUGUUUGCAUGAAUUAACAUAGUUAAUUUAAAAUACUAAUUUCUUGAGUACAAUUAAGUGGCCAAUGGCGC